AUUCUGUGGAAUUUCAAUAUAAAAUAAAGUCUGCCAAAUUUGUAGUGUGAAAUGGUUUCAGUUUUAUGCUUAUAGAUUAGAAUGAAAUCCAUACUCCAAUUCUCAAAAUAUAUGUGGAAUGAAGGUCAGUUGUGGGUUAUUUUAUCUCUCCAGUGUCAACCAAGAUGAAUGCAUGAUACAAUGUACAUGCCUGAAGUUUUGGAUUUGAUUCAGGAUCUGAAAUCCAUAUUUUCUUGAGUUCUCCUGGUUCAUUGAACAAUCUUUCAACUGACAAGUUUGGCUUUACUACUAGUAUAAGUGGCAUAUGAUUUAGUAUCGAUAUGCUCUGUCAAUUUGUACAAAUAUAGGUAGGCAGUAGGAUGGUUAAGUUAGUUUUUGUUAUGCUAUCUUAUUGCACUUGGCAAAUGCUGUGUCUGGCUGUGUCCAUUUUUAAACCUAAUACUGGCUGGCCAAUGUCCAUGAUGGUUCAAUGGAAGAUUAAGGAUGGGAUUCAACAGGCCGGGUCCAAAUCCGUCUUGAAAAUCUGGAGGUAUAGGACCUGGAUUCUACAUAGUAACAAAUGAGUGCUUUACUAUGCAGCCAUCUAGCCAAUAGCAGUAGAAUAGAAAACAGCACAAAAACAAGUGGAAGAAAAGCAUAUUUUAGUGAAAACUCAAAUCUGUUGUUCUGAGGUAUAUGACUGCACGCGUACACACACACACACACACACACACACACACACACA
rnacentral:lncRNA from 1 species